UACGAAGGGGGCUAGCGUUGCUCGGAAUCACUGGGCGUAAAGGGUGCGUAGGCGGGUCUUUAAGUCAGGGGUGAAAUCCUGGAGCUCAACUCCAGAACUGCCUUUGAUACUGAGGAUCUUGAGUCCGGGAGAGGUGAGUGGAACUGCGAGUGUAGAGGUGAAAUUCGUAGAUAUUCGCAAGAACACCAGUGGCGAAGGCGGCUCACUGGGACGGUACUGACGCUGAGGCGCGAAAGCGUGGGGAGCGAACAGG
rnacentral:rRNA from 1 species